AUUUGAAGAGGGUGUUUCGGUUGCGGCCCUGGCCUAAGUUCCUUGGAACAGGACGUCAUGGAGGGUGAGAAUCCCGUACAUGGCUGAGGGCUUGCUUCCAUGUGAAACCCCUUCGAAGAGUCGAGUUGUUUGGGAAUGCAGCUCAAAAUGGGUGGUAAAUUUCAUCUAAAGCUAAAUAUUGGCGGGAGACCGAUAGCGCACAAGUAGAGUGAUCGAAAGAUGAAAAGCACUUUGAAAAGAGAGUUAAACAGUACGUGAAAUUGUUGAAAGGGAAGCGCUUGCAAUCAGACUCGCUUUCGGUUGAUCAACGUUCCUUUUGGUUCGUGCACUCUGCCGUUUGCGGGCCAGCAUCAGUUGGGGCGGCGGGACAAAGACGGUGGGAAUGUGGCUCCCUUCGGGGAGUGUUAUAGCCCAUCGUGCCAUGCCGCCAGCCCCGACUGAGGUCCGCGGUUCGCCUAGGAUGCUGGCUUAAUGGUUGUAAGCGACCCGUCUUGAAACACGGACCAAGGAGUCUAACAUCUACGCGAGUCUUUGGGUGUCAAACCCAUGGGCGCAAUGAAAGUGAACGGAGGUGGGAGUCCUCGGAUGCACCAUCGACCGAUCCUGAUGUUCUCGGAUGGAUUUGAGUAUGAGCGUAGCUGUUGGGACCCGAAAGAUGGUGAACUAUGCCUGAAUAGGGUGAAGCCAGAGGAAACUCUGGUGGAGGCUCGCAGCGGUUCUGACGUGCAAAUCGAUCG
rnacentral:rRNA from 1 species